UGGACGAAGCUUUUUUCUUACCAAGAGCUGGGUCAGCACAUUCUUUGUACAGCUCGGGGGUGCAGUAGGGAGCAUCGCCUGCAGCCAAAGUAACACACACUCACAGUACAGUCAUUUUACACAACAUCGCUGAUGUAACUCUGAUACAACACACAGAAACAAACGUCUGAAACCCGGGCGCCACUCCAAACCCAAGCUGGUCAAUGAAGGACGGCUCGUCCUGACUGUGGAUCUGAACUUUGACCCCAGCUUCAAAUGAAGUCUCAUCUGCAGGAAGUCAAAGAAUGUUGAAUCAGAGCAACACAUCGGGAAAAUGCGUCUCACUAAUGAAUCCAGACACUUAGCAGAGCUUUGUCUCUUGAGUUCCACACUCUACAUUAACACCUGCCCAAACACACUG